GCAGAGAAACAGAAAAAAAGAGGAACUAAAAUGCUCCAUGGGUUACCUAAUGUCCAUGGUGACUAUAUUAGAAGGCCUGAUAUUUUACAGUGACAUCAGGGUAUCUAUAAACUGCAGCCAAUGCCUAUCAAUGAUUUUGGGAUGGGAAAAGCUGGACAUGAAGGAGACAAUAGUCACUGCAGAUAAUACCUGGUGCAGGCUGAUUGUAGAAGAGAUGGCAAUGUCUUUGGCGGUUCCAUGUUUACC
rnacentral:misc_RNA from 1 species